rnacentral:lncRNA from 1 species
CUCUGCUGACUUCAGGAGGUGGGAUUUUGAUUGCACUAUUUACCUGCUGUGUGCUCUGGUGAAAUUCAACUUCCUGUGCCUGUUCCCUCAUUUAAAAAAAGAGAUAGAGAGAGCCUGGGAAGCCUUGGAAUGGACUCUGUGGUGCACUGAGCUGCUAUUUGGCCUCUUGGUUCAGGAAGAAUUUCCAAGAGAGAAUAAAAAUGGCUCAAUAUUUGUGAAUUUAAUCCAUUUUAAAUCAGCAGCUCCUGUAAGGAAAACAAACUGAGGAGCAAUUGGGAGAAUAGCCUCAACUCUUGAACAUUUCUAAGUGGAGUAGAGGGCCCAGAAGGUGGGUUUUUGGUUCUGAGCAUUUGCUAUCUGUGGUCUGUUGAGAAUGUUAAGAAUGUUUCUGGGAAGAGGUCCUGGUUUUCAGCAUCACGAGUGAUCUCAC